GCUUAGGCAAUGGCUUAACUUCCACAGUAAUCGAUAGCCGUCUCCUUUUCACAUCAGGUGAUGAUUGCGCUUCCGCUCCAGGGGAUGACUCCGUUUUCACAUCGAGUGAUGGUUGCACCUCCACUUCAGGUAUUGGUUCAAUUUCCAUAGCAGCUGGCUGACCAUAUAUUAGAUAGACAGCCGUCUCCUUAACAGUCAAUCCAUGCCCAAUAGCUACAAAAAUCUCCACAUUGUCAUCAACUUUUAAAUUUGACACUACACCUUCCCAAUCUUCAUCAUUAAAAGACAUUAUUGUGUCACGCUUGUAAAUUUGGAUAGUGAGUUUUGUGUAAUUAAUGAUUAAGACACUAGUGAUACAUUCAAUUGGCAGGUUUUGAGGUGUUAACGAAUAAACAACACACAAAGCUAUUCCCUUCAUGCAGGAACCACUAUCCUCAGGCACUUCGAAAUGUACUGAAGGUCCUUCGCAUUUAUAGGCUAACCAAUAAGGAUAAUUGUCACCCGGAAGGAAAGAAUCAC
rnacentral:lncRNA from 1 species